AGUUACCAAUCAGAUUACAACACAUUAUACCAAACCAGUAGAACAGAAUCCAGUUACCAUGGAAACAGAUGAUACUGAAUCAUUUUCUGUUGCUACAUCAGAUGGCGGAGAAGGUCAUGUGACCACAGCCCUAGGCAACACAUGGAGUCACAACGUUAACACUCGUCUUAUUCUCCAGUAUCUAGAUGAAGUACAUCGAGAGAUAUUGAUAGCCAAAUCCCCGCUUGCUCCAUUCGCUAAGGUAAUCUACACCAUCCAAGAUGCAGGCUUAGUUUCUACAGGUA